rnacentral:lncRNA from 1 species
AUUGGAAUAAGGCGGUCGGAAAGCUCGGUGUCGACCACCUGUUCGACAAAUUUACGCAGAGACUUGGUGUUGAACUCGUGGCUGGAGACUUGGCGCUGGAACUUCCAGUUAUCUCCAUCGGCGUUGAAAAUGCCGUCGCCGAAGAGGUCGGCGAGGGUGGUGCGGAAGGUCUCGCCUUUUUGGUAGUUGGGGAAGUUGGUCUUCAGGAUGUGCUGGACAACGGUGGGAUUGGCGGUGACGACGAAGCGGCGGCCGAGAGAGUGGUGGAGAGUGAAGGUGUUUGAUGGGGAGGUGCGGAGGAGGUCGGUGAACCACGGCAGUCUGCGGCGGUGGUUUUUGUAGAGAGAUGGGAAUGUGCCGAUUAUUGGGUAUGAUUUGGGGAGCUUGCUUGUUUUGGGGUUCGGGUCCGAUGAAAACCUGAAGAGGAAGAAAAGGAUGGGAAGGAGGAGGAGGAAGGCGAAGGUUAAGAGCUCAAGAAACAUGGCUGGCCGAUAUAACGCAGAAAAAUGGAAAGGUUAAAGCUGUCGGACAAUUUGCAGUGGUUGAUGUAGUGCUGCUGAUUUGCGGAUGAUUUGGCAGCAAGAUUUGGGGGUCCAUUUAUAAUGUCUGAGUUUGUUUUGUUUAAAGCAAACUAUCAUACUAAUCACUUUUCACUGGAAAUUUACAAAAAAAUAUGGUCUUGUAUGAACAGUUUUUAGUGUACUUUUCAAUGAGUCAAGUCACUGGCACGCAGAAAUCAACGUGGAGCAGAUUCUCUGCUCUUUCACUUUUCGUGUCUUUUUGUUUGUGUGGUCACGUUUAAGUCAGGUCAAUAUUUUAUAUUACUAUUUCUUUUUAUCUUAUUAUCUUUAUAAUAUAAAAUGUUGACGUGAUUUAACUGUGACCACACAAAACAGGAGCGCACGGGAAGUAAGAGGACAAAGAAUCUGCCUCCUAAAUCGUUCACAAUUAAACGACAAUCGAUAGUGAUUAGUGAUAUUAGUACGUAAGCGAGGUCGUCAGAGCACCCGCAGGUACAUGGAUGGUGAGUCUUCGGUCUUGGAUUUAUAGAAUAUACUAAAAGUGGAAAUAGAUGAAAUGGAUUUGCUCUUCCAAGGUAUGGUCUUGAUAAUUAACCCCUAAAGAUCCCAAUAAAUAAUUCCCAAUUGAAAAUUUUGGAGAAACACCAUCACCCACAGUCGUUGAUGGUCUCGAGAGAAUAUUCUGCUCUCAUUUGGGUGGGUUCUAUCGGAGAUAAUGAAGGAGUACAAAGGUGUGGCAGCCUUUUGAGGUAAAAAUAUUUUUCUCUUUAUUUUGUUAUUUAUUUAAGGACAAACUUGGAAGAAGCUUAGUGGAAAAAAUUUAAUAAACUUUUUUCAAGCAAAUUGAACUUAAACGUUGGAUAAGAUCUGAAAUGACGUCUAUUUGCAAACAUAAUGAAACACGAUAACGACAUUAUCUAUAUACUAAAACCCGGUGGAAAAAUACUGUUCACGAGCAGUGUAAUGUCUUAAAUGCCCCUUGAUGUCUUCUUUGUUUUCCAUUGUCUUACCUGCUUGGUAUAGUUAACUGACUGAAAUGCCCCUUAUGUUAGUCUUUGCAAUGUGCUACUUUCCAUUUUGUACAGUAAUUCAUCGGGUCUGCCGUUUCUAUCCACCUGUCCAUCAUCUGUGGUUCUUUGGUUUUUUUAAACUCACGCACAUUUUUUAAUCAUUUUUUCCCUAACAACCAAUUUCUUUGUAACUUUUUAUGUUUUUUUGUGCCACAAAUCAUGUGCCGGUUUAACUUCCGACAUUAUCUUUUUGGUCCAAAAACCAAUUUGUUUAUCCACAGGGUAAAACAGGACCAGGGUUCGCUCCCGAGCUAAGGAUGAAGAUCCUCUUCAUCAAUGAGUGUAGAUCGUUGGAUGAAAAUUUAAUGGCUACAAACAGGUGAUCUCUUUAAAGUUAUAAUAAUUAUAACCGUUGGCUUUUCAUCUAACGAUCCACAUCCCUUGACGAGGAGAAUCCUCAUUCUUAACUCAGGAGAGGAUACUGGUCCGGUAAAACACUCGGUUAGUAUUUAUUAACAGUAAAAUGUCAGAAGUGUUUGAAAGUGGAUUGUCUUUCCUUUGCAUGUUAUUAUUUUAUUAUUAUCUAUAUGAAACCCCAAACGCUCGGUUACUGUUUAUUAACAGUAAAAUGUCAGAAAUGACCUUCGUUUUUGCCUCUUUUCUGCAGUGAAAAGACGGUAAUGCCCCUAUUUUGCCUGGUAUCUUCUUUAUUCCUUCUCCAUGCCGUUUCAGUGAUUUUUUUUACCUAGCCCACGUGUCGGUCAUCGUGAGGUUUGGCUUUUAGUUUAUACCCACUUUGCUUUUUGUUCAGUUUCCCAUAUACCAAAUUCUGCAUUUCUAUCGUUUUGCAAGCUGUGCGUUGUCCUUUCCCUCUUUCCAUUCUCGCCUUCGGUCGUCCCUUUCAAAUCUCGCUUUGUGUCCGUUUCAGCUCUUUGUUUCCUCACUCAACACCGUAUCAGUGUAAGGGUUUUCGACUUUUGAUUUUUCUUUUGUUUGAAAUUGAGAAGUUUGAUUUUGAUAGAUUCGAAAGAAUACAAAAGUUAAAUCUUUAUUUGGGUGAAUUUUUAAACCCAGUUUCUCUUAUGGAUUUUCAUGGUUGGUUAAAUUGAAUUUGGAGGUUUUUAUGUGGUCUCAGAUGGAAACAAUUAUACAAGGGAUGCAAGAUAUAAACGGGGUGGAAUGAUUUCUGUUAAUUUUUUUUUUUUUUUGAAAUCAUUUUGGGGUUUUGUUUGGUUUUGCUAAUUACGGGCUGUUGAACCCCGUAAUUUGUCUACACGAUAUUUUGUUUGGAUUAAAUUUUAGGUUGUCCAAAUUAUAAGCUAUGUUUUAUUCUCAUAUAUCAAUUUGGUUGGCUCUUAUGUUUAUGAUGGUUCUGAUUCUGAUAUAGCAGUUCGAUUAAAUUUUAGGUUCUCCAAAUUAUAAGCUGCGUUUUAUUUUGAUAUACCAAUGUGGUUGCCUCUUAUGUUUGUAUCAAUUUGGUUGCCUCUUAUGUUUAUGAAGGUUCUGAUAUAGCAAUUUGAUUAAAUUUUAGGUGGCUGACAAGUGUUGCACUGCUCCAGAUUCCUUUUGUUUAAAACCUCUCAGGUCUUACAAGUUCUUACUGGUUAUUUUUCCCUUCUUUUUUAGCGUGCGUUUUUAAUUUUUAAUUUUUAAUUUUUUGGUUUGUGUUGUUUGAUUUAGUUCUUGUUUAUUUUCAGGAAGCGGUGAUUGUCGUCCUGCGCUCUAGCAACUAUAAAGAACACAGCUUUAGGUACACUUACUCUCCGAUGAAAAUCUCAAGUUUAAGUCUUAAUUGAUUUUUGAGUGAAGUGUUUUAUGGUUUUGUUGAUUUGGCUGGUAUUUUUUCAUUUGUUUGAUUAAAAUUUAAUUUGGGUUAUUGGGUAUUUCUUGAUUUGAAUGAUUUCUAACUAUUGUUUCUCCCAGUUUAUGAUAUGGAUAACUGUAGUUGGAUAAUAGUAUGAGCUCAGUUAUAUUCUUUGAACCAAUGACUGCUAUUCAAUUUUUUUUUUCUGUGUCUUUUUGAACUUUCAUAAGUCAUUUAAUUUUUCUUAAUCAAUAUUUUGUUUUAAGUCUUUACUCCUGCAUAGUUACCAAAUUUUGAUUUAAGUUAGGUUAUCUUUCCUUAUUUAUCUACAUUACUUACACAAGAUAGUAUUGUUAUAUAACUGAUAUCUGAGAAAUUAAUAUUUUUACUUAUUGAAUCAUUUAUUUUAAGACUGGCGAUAACAAUUUUUUAACUCAUACAAGUUAUGUUUGGUUUAACUCAUACAAGUUUUCCAGGACGACGAGUAGUUACUGAUCCAGAACUUUUAUCCCUGGUCUUCUUUGAACCAUCCCUGCGAGGUAUACGACUACGGCUUGAAAAACGUGGCAAAGGAAUAUUAGGUUUGGAAGCAGAUGAUUUUCGUUGUAGUCCUCGAGCAUUUUCUCUAGGUAUAUAAGGCCUACUGCAACAAGAGCAUGGAUGGCGUCGGGUGUGUUCUGGGUUUGAAACCAGAAGCCCAUGGCUCCGGCAUAUGGUCUCGUGGCUCGUGGCUCGGCCACACGGGCUGCAGGCCUGGGCGAGCGGCUCGAGUUGCGGCUCAAGGUCAUCGGUUCGAAGAAACCUAGUGUUUUCCCAUUUCUGUAUUUUUUUUCUUUAUUUUUUUUCAAUUAAUUCAAAGCAUAUAUAAUUUGAAUGAAUGAACCUAUAUUGAUGCAAUUCAUGGUAAUAUCAAAUUCACAUAAUUCAACAAUUAUGUAUAUAAUACAUACACAAUUUAUGUAGAAUCAAAAAUUUCAAAAACGUAAAGUUGAGUCAUAUAUUAUGGUGAAUGUUCAUGCUACCAGGGUUGCAAAAAUAUCGAGAUAAAAGUUGUUGUUUUGGAAGAACCUGAUUGUGUGAUGAUAUGGAUGAACUGGUUUGAUGCAGAAAGCUUCCACGUCAGAUUUAGAUUACUAGGCGCAGCGGUAGGAACGUGUUGAUAACGUGUUGUGGCCUAUUUUAUCUAACUAAGGGGAAGGGGCCGACGGCAAAGAGAGAAGAGAGAGAUGUGUUUGUAGAAUUGUAGGGGAAUGUGUGUGUAGAUGAUGUGUUAUUUUCCCUACGCAGUGCCUUUAUUUAUAGUAAUAAGAGGGAGAAUAAUCUCUUCAUCCCCAAGGAAUACAAGUCCAUAUAGGAAAUAAUAACUAGAAUCAAAUCUAAGGGAAAAUUAGGUUUACAUCGUUCUUUUUGUUACUCCAUUGAUUCAAAUCCUAUUCAUUUUUAAUUUUUUAUCAAGGUCUUUAGGUAUUAAUAAUAUCAUUAAUUAUUUGAAUAAUAAAAUAUUUUUAUUUUUAAAUAUAUUCCUUUAGUGUUAAAAAUGUUACAAUUAGUAUAUUUAUAUUUAUGGCUAAAUUUUUUAUCAUAUAUUUUUAUUUUUAAUUUGUACCUAUUUAUAAUUUGCAAAUAUUUUUUAAUUUGUACCAAUUUUCUUUUCAUUUUUAAUUUGUACCUAUAUAUUAGUUUCUUUUUGUGCCCAUAUUUUUUAAAGUUUUAUUUGUGUUUGUACCCAUGUGUAUACCGUCACGUGACAUUGUAUAUUUAAUAAAUGAUAGAAAAAUUACAUAUAGUAUAUUUAUGUUUUAUGCCUAAACUUUGUAUCAUAUAAUUAUAUUUUUAGUUUGUACCCACUUUUAAUUUGCAACAUUUUUUUUUUAAAUUUGUAGUAUUUUCUUUUUAGUUUUAUUUUGUACCCAUGUAUUAAUUUCUUUUAGAUCCUAUAUUUUUUUUUAAAUUCAUUUGUACUCAUAAUUUUUUAAUCUUUUAUCUGUAUCCUAAUUUAUUUAUAAUGCACCCAUUCUUCUUUAUUAAUGUACCACUUUUUUAUAUGUGAAAUGUACCAAUUUUUUUUAACACUAUGGAUACAUUCUUUUGCCAUUUAUUAUUUCUUAUUUUUACAUAGUUUUUAUCCAUUUAUUCAAUCAAAAUGUUUGAAUUUUUUAAUUAUAACCGUUUCUAAUAGUAUUAUAAUGAGAGAUUUUAAAUUUAUAGGAUUAUAAAUCUCAUAAAAUAUCAAACAAUUCAUGUCAAAACUAUAAAAAUAUUAAUAGUAAUAGUAAUAUAAUGAGGUGUACAAAGUCAAUGAACUUUGAUCAAACUUUGAAUACUAUUAAGGUUUUAAUCAAAGAAUGUUAAGAAUUAGGGACCGCAUCUAAAGUAUCCCCAAAUCUAAACUAUGAUUUACACAAUCACAAUUAAACUAGAAAAGUUUACAACAAAGUCAUAAUUUUUAGACAAUUUGAGGAAAUAAAAACUUACUUUUGCAACUCCCUUAUAAUUUGCUGGAAAUUGUUUUCACUAGUUUGCUGGGCCACACGUUCUGCAGACACUAUAUUUGUUUAUAGAGGUAUUUGUUGAUUUGCCUUCUGAAUUUGUUUGCAGUUGCCAAUUUUCCCCUUGAACUUGAAUUUUAGCCGAUUACUCCCUUGAGCUUUAAUAAAUAGUCAAUUCCCCCUAGCGUUAGAUUUUAUAAAACUUUCCUUUAGUUUUUCAUCCAUCCAAAUUUUUAUCAUUUUUUCCCUCAUACAAUUGUCAUAUAUUGUUUCCGUGAUCAAGAUGGAUGGAAAAUUGGAUGAAUUUUUUUAAAAUCUAACAAUAGGAGAAGAUUGGCUAUUUAUAAAACUUCAAGGGGGUAAUCAGCUAAAAUUAUAGUUCAAGGGGGAAAUUGCCUAAUUAUAAAAGUUCAAGGGGAUAAUCAACUAAAAUUAAAAUUCAAGAAAAAAUUAGAAGCUCCAUACAAAUUCAGAGAAUAAAUCUACAAAUAUGCCUUGUUUAUAUAUCUCUACUAGUAGAAUGUCAUAACUCCACUUUGGAUCACAAGAUUUCACCAAAAAUAAGUGGACAUACAUAAAAGCCUCUCAAACCAAAACAAUCUAAAAUUGGCCGAAAAAAAUCUAUGACAAAAUGAAGAGAUAAUUUUGUCAAGAAACAAAAUUUUAAAAUUCAUUUUAUUGAAAAAAAUUAGGGAGCGGUUGAGCAGAGUAGAAAUUAUGGGAUGGUUAUCCACGUUGCAACUGAAAGAAAACUUACUAUUCCAAUUUUGUAAAACUGGUGUAAAAACAAAAUUGUAGCUCCACCCGCAUUUUUCAAAACACUGAACAAAAGUCGAAAAGAAAAGUUGGAGGCAAUGAUGAAUCUCAGACCUUCCACUUUUUUCCCUUGCAUGUUCCAGGAGAGUGGUACUUGAGAUAGGUACAAACCUUCACAUUUUACUUGGUUUUCUAAUCCUAAUCAGGAUAAUGGUGAGCUCUUCUUUCAAUUGCCUUGAUUACUUUUCCAAAAGUUUAUGAUUUCUUUUCUAAUAUGUUAUUCUACUACAACACUUAAAACCUCUCAUGCAAUCUAAAUUCAAGCAAAAUAAGAAAUAGGCGAAACAGUAUGUAUAAAUAAAUAUAUUAAGGAUUUGUAAGUUGCGUGUAGUGCGUGAUUAAAGAAAGGCCUUUCACACUGCGGGUAGAGAAAGACUAGUACGUGUGUGUGUAUAUAUAUAUAUUUCUUUUUCUUUUUCUUUGAAAAAUAUAUAGAAGGGAGAAGUUAGAGAGAAAUGUGAAAAGAGAGAGGGAUUGAGAGAGAAAACGUGGGAAGGGAGAGAGAUUUAUAUUUAUAUUUUUUAUUUUUAAAUUAGAGGUACACUAUGAUGGCAUAUGGUUGAAGGUGUUGUGGCCUAUAUUCUACAAAGGGGUGCGGCAAAGGGAAGAGAGAAAGAUGGAGAAUAGACUUGAGGAAUUGUGUGUUAAUUCCUCAAUCCUUGUGCAUUUAUUUAUAGUAAUAAGGAGGAGAAAAACUUGCUCUUCAAGUAAUACAAAGUUUAUUAGGAAAGAUCUUCUAGAUCCCAAAGGAUUCCUAUUUUAUCUCUACUUAGGAUUUACAUAAUCACAUUAAUAAUAACAUAUGUCACAACAUUCCCCAUUGAGUGUGCAAAUACUCAAGUAGAUGGUGCAUCAGAUCUUCAGGCAAAUGUAGAAGCAGUUGAUGAAGUCGUCUCGUCUAGUCGGCACAAGUAACGAAUGCAAGUCUCAAAACAAACGAAAGAAUGCAUGGGUAGUAAAACCCACAAAACCUCGCUAUGGCAAAACCUAAGGUGGGAGAAAAACCCAUAGGCUAAGGAGAAAAAUGAGAAGUUGCAUUAAGUCAAAACUAUACAUCUUCGAGACACAAGUAGAAUGUACAUAAGGGUAUAACAAACUCAGGAUGGGUGCCUCGUUAAAACCUAGUCAGGUAGCAAAAAUCAAGUGGGAAAAAUGCUCCUAAUCGUAGGAAAAAUAGUACAUUAAGGUCAAGUGAGUAUACUUCUGGAUACUUUCCCUGAGUUUGACAAAACUUCCAAAUCACAUUACAAGCAUCGCAAAUGAGAAAGCUACGCAUACCAAUUCCUUGGGCAAGUUUCUGGAAGGUAGACUUUGGCAGUGACGUCGUGUAGAGGUCGGCAAGGUUGUUUGGGAUCGGACUGCUUGACUUCAUUCUUCUGAUGCUCAUGCUGAUGUAGACACAAUACGCUUGGCGUUGACUUGUUAGUAUGUAUCAUAAUCUGGUCGAUACAUACAACGUUGUCUUUAUGCAUCGUUAUUGGGAUUUAACGAUAAAUGAAAAACACUGGGAUUUUGAAUAUGCUCAACAAGAGUUCUCGACCAUAUCUCUCACGUGAUGAGAUACAAUGAGUCUUGGAACGAUUCAAAGUUUUCGCAACAAAAAUGUCUAUCUGGUUUACCUCCAAGAUAUUGUGGUGUUCCUUAAUGAUAAAGACUUAACCAUUCGGGAACAUACCUUGUGCGGUCAAACAGAUGGUCUAAUUGAGCGAAUCCCAUAGGGUAGGCAUCAUUUCGAAGAUCAAGGGGGUGUGAUCUAUUCUGAGAUGCAUAGGGAUAGAUAAGCCCAAAUCCAUAGUAACGGAAAAACGUCUUUAACACCAAAUUUGGUGGUGGCGUGUAGGCGCAGUGAUAUUUUCUGCCAAAAGAUUAUUAGCACAUAAGAUGUUUGAUCUAGUGCAUUGAGCUAAGUACAACAAAUGCCAAUUAUACUUAGAUAUGGUUGCAUCACGUUCCAAUAUGGAACUUUGUGCUCCAUACCCUUCGUAAAGGUCUCAUUUGCAUCUAGCGUAUAGAUGAUCAGGGUAUACUCGGACAUAACACCUUUUGGGUCUAGUUCGAUUGGUGGACCAGAAUACCAUUAGAACUAGCUCGAAACUUUAGGUCGAGGUAAUGUCGAGUUUUCCCAUGAUCAUUCAUCUUAAAGUCUGACUUUAGGUGCAAGUCAGUUUUCUCAACUCUAGCAAUUUUGAAUUUUGUACACGCAGGGGCAUAUAUCCCUAACUAAUCAAAUAUUCACUUAGACGGGUAUACCUCAUCCGCCCGGAUAGUUCUGCAUAUGCAAAGUGAAGGCCUCAUCAGAACCGAGAGGGUGUUCUUAUGGUCUAGAACUAUUUGAAUCAGUACAUGUAAAUCUUUUGGAAACUCCAUGUAGUUUUUGUAUCAAGAUCCCAGAGAUACUACAACCACGUUUGUAAUGCUGCAAUUAAUCACAUGGCGUAUGAGAGAAACCUUGCGCUACAAGGCGUCAUAUCGCACUAUUUCAUUCAUCUCAUUCAUCAUCAAUUGAUUUUUCUAGUUGACCAAUCAAUUAUACGUUAACAGUAAUCAACAGAACGCAGUUCGUUAUCGUCGCUUUUCAUUUAUGUCGAUAGUUACCAUAUAAACAAAAACAUCAUCUAUGAUAAUCUCAUUCCAAUUCCAUAUCUCAUCCAAACUUAGUAUACUGGACCAAGAACUUCAGGUCUCGGAAGUAAUCCAGAUUUAAUCUCAUGAGAUGAAAAGGAUUGAGACAACAAUCGAGGGGCAGAUUCAUUCGUGCCACAUUCCUCCACUUUUAAGGAAGUGAAUCCUCGAACUGAGUGAUCUGCCAUGCUUCUAGUGUAUAACAGAUUGAUUAGCUAGCAGCCAAUGUACGAGGGUCAGCCACAGUAGUGGCGUUCCUACUUUCGGGAUGAAGAUCCGUCAUACAUUUGGUACACAUAUUUACAGGCACAUUUGCAGCUGGUAUAUGUGAUCUCAUCACUUGUUCUUAGAUCAGAAGAAGUGUCUGGUUAUACUCUAACGAUCUAGAUUGGGAUCGAAAUGAGACAUAAUGAGGACGUCCACGAUAAUUCGCGUCAUUCUUUAGGAAUGUUGACGUUCUUAUCUCCCCCUAAUGAUGGGAAGACUAUCUUAUAAAAGUGACAAUCCGCAAAACAAACGAUAUAGAGAUCGCCUGUCAAAAGGUUCUAAGUAACAAAUAUUAGAAGGAGAAUCAUAACCGACAUAAAUUCUCAUCCUUCCUUGAGGACCCAUUUUUUCUUUUAUACGUAAGGGCGGCUCAAAAUGGCACAUAGACCGCACAACCAUACACGUGCAAAUACGAUAUGUCAGGUUCGUAUUUGGUAACCAACUAACACUCACUUUAUAUGGUUGGGUCGUGACAGGCCUUAGGCAGACCAACAUAGUUGCUUGCAAUAUUGCAUGGCCCCAAGAGAGAUCGGGAACUUGGUACGUAUGACCAAUCGAUCGCGCAAUCAUUUAAAGGCGUUUAAUGAAUGCUUCUGCUGGGUCUUUUUGGGUAUGAACAUAGGGUACUUGAUGUUCAACUUCAAAACCCAACUGACAUGCAAUAUCCAUCGAAAGGUUUAGAUGUAAAUUCUCCAACUUAUUUAAUCAAAUAGAUUUGAUUAGAUAAUCAGGGUAGUGAGCCCUGAGCUUGUUAAUCUGAGCCACCAGUGUGGAGAAUGCAGCUUGUGGACAACAGCCACAUAUGUGACCAACGUGUAGAAGCAUCAACCAAUACCAUAAAGUAUAUAAAGGGGUGUGAUAUCCACACACCCCUUUUUACUUCUCUCACACCCUUUUAAUUUUCGGCCGUCGGAUCGGAUGAAUUAAAGAAGAUCAAAGGAUAGAAAUUAACAAGGGGUGUGUGAGAAGUAAAAAGAGGUGUGUGGAUAGCACACCCCUAUAUAAAUGGUCCGCAAGGUGGUUGAAUCAGUCCACAAAUGUCCCUUUUUGAAUCAUUUGUAGAAAAAAAUAGAGGGUGCUAAGGCAUGAUACGCUUCCAGGUAUGAUGUCAUUACUUUUGGUAAAAUGAUGCCUAAAAAUGGUCAUCACGGAUCAUCCUAGAUAUCCCAAACGUACAUCCAUAGCAAAAAUUCCUUAGGAAUCGCGGGCUUCUAGCCGGCCACAUAAUGGCUUGAAUGGGUGUAAUUCACUCGUUAAACGUUUCAUCUUCUUUAGAAUAUGCUUCUGGCUAUAUUCGUAGGAAGUGCAAUAUGGUAAUAUGCCAAGGAAUUUUACUCCAUUUUCUACAUUGGUUUCAAUAUGGUAUAAUAUUUUCGAAUAUCCUUAAAGCUCAAAAAGGCGUUUUUUUUGGAACGAAGUGAGUAUAAGCUUCCCUUUAUGGCAAAAUUAGUAUCAUUGGACAAUAUAAGACAGUGUCAUGCCUUAUUCGAGAAUAAUAAUGACAUCCAAACACCAAUCUUAAAUAUGAGAACAAAAUAAAUUAUUCACAAAGUAAAUCAAAUAUACAAGGGGAUUCAACCAAUAUGGCCUUCCAUGUCAAAUUUCGCUCUUCCAAAUGUGUUAGGCGGAGCAAAAUUAGUCUCACAUAUUGACUACGGGAAUAGUACUCCUCAACAACAUUGGUAAAGGUACAGAAAAAUGCAUAAUCAAUGAUCUAUUUUGUCAAAACGGAGUUAGAUUCUGUAGGGUUGAGGUUCAAGAAUACUAUCCCUUAUUCUUGAAGUUUGAGGUGUCAAGAAUCAUGCUUAAGGCAUGAUACCACCUCUUGGCAGACCCAGAUUCUAUCAUUUAUUGUAAAACAAACUCGAAAUGGGAUUGUGAGAGAGAGACAGACCCAAACUUGGGUUCAGUAGGCUCCAGCCAAAACUGGAUGAGUCUGUUCGGUAGGCCUCUGCCGAAGCAGAGCAGUACCAUUCGAUGUACCUCUGUCGAAGCAUAGCAUGCCAUUUGGUGCAUUCUUGCCGAAUCAAGGCAUCACUAUUCGAUAGACUCCAACCGAAGCUGGAUCUAUACCGUUCGGUAGUUCCCAGCCGAAUUGUUAGGGUACCAUUCUCUUACAGGUGUGGUAGUAAUCAGAUCCGAGAAUUUGAUAAACUUCCGCUCUCUAUACUGCUACUUCAGGAGCAAUUUAGAUAUAGAAGGACAACAAAGAUUUUCUUCCAGUUAAAAUUUGAUCGGAUAUAAACUUCAGAAUUGUUCCAAUUCAUGGAUGUAAAGGUUUCAAUCAUGUUUUGCUUCGAGCAAGAAUUCAUCUUUUGAAAUGGUCCAUAGCGAGUCAAAGAGCCAUGGAGUCCUCAGCAGUGAGGUACUUCCAUUUGAUAUGCUUCAGGCAUAAGUCUUCGAAUAAAAAUUAUGGCGGAGGCUUAUCCAGCUCUUUCACACCAUAACUAGCUACAAUGAUUUUGCAACUAGUAGUAGUCACGCAGGGUGUCACGUCUUGUAUCCACAUAAAGUAGUUUCUUAUUCGAAACUUCCAAAUCAGUGAAAUCAAACUUGUUACGGUUCGACAAUACGCUGAAUGGCAGAAAUAAGAAUGUGAUUGGUGUUUUAGGAAAUAAAAUUUCCAUAAACAUCAAAGUUAGAACAUUCAGGUUCUAAGACAUUGUUUGGUUUAAACGGAUUUAAGCAUUGAGAACUUCGGGUCUCAACAUGAGUGUUGCGCAUUAAGAAACUUCAAGUUUAUAUGGCACUUUUCCAAAACUUCGGGUUCGGAAGUAUGAAUGUCAAGUUCAUAAUACCUGCAAACAAACGCAAUAUAUACAAAAAUAUGUAACAAGAAAAUAUGCAAAUAUGUAUAGAAUUUAUAAUUUAAUUAUUUGGACUUUGGGCCAAAAUUAAAAGUUGGGCGAAAAUUUUUAAAAACCCAUAAGGCCUAAAAAACAGGCAAUAUAAUUGGUUGCCCACGGGGGCUAUAAAAACAGAAAAAAAAGGUAGGCCCAAGCCCAAUAUUAGAUGAGGGCCUAGCGGCCCAAGCCUUAAACCAAGGCUGGAAUUAAAAAUGGGCCGAGCCAGGGCACUAAGCCCGUAUACAUAGUUGGGCUACUAGCGCAGGCCCAGAUGGCUAAGGCCCAAAAUAGGGCGCCAAUCAGGUGCAUCGCAACGCAUAUAGGGACACCACAGCUCGAACUGGUGUCGCGGGUUGGGCUGGGUUAUGUGUGAUGGGCUACGAUCUGUAAGUUCGGAUAAAUCUCUCCAAAGGGCUAAGAAAUCAAAGCUCAAAGGGCUAAUGAUGUGGACCAAAGGCAGUCAAGCCCAAGUGGGCUCGGGUAAAGACCAAAAACAGCCCAGCUUUGCUGGGUGAGGUCGUUGAAGUUGAGACCAGCGCCGCCACUUCAGGUGGUCAUGUUCUUAGUGAAUUUUUGGUCGGGGGAAGUUCGGGUUCGAACUGGAACUCUAUUAUGAACGGAGAAAUUUAAUUUCUCAACGUUGGGUGAAAACCAUGGGGAUUUUGAAUUGAAACCCUAACAAUCUUGAUGAAAUUCGACGGGAAUUUCAAUAAUCAUCAUCGGAGAGGAUGAAUUUGUCCCAAAAAACACUUCAGGUGGUGAGUCCUAAUGGAAAUCGACAUUGGUACCAUGACUCGUCUACAGGUGAGGGUAGGUUUUGGGGACGAUGCCAUGGACAGCGUUGUUUGGUUUUCAUGGAGAAAGGGAGCUGCUGGCUCUUCGGCUCAGUCACGCAGGCUGCAGGCUUGGUGAGCGAAAAUGCCAGGUCAUGGGUUCGAAGAACCCGGGUUGCGUUUCCAAUUUUUUUUUUUAAUUCAAUGCAUAUACAAGUGCAUAUAAUUAUUCAUAUUAAUAUCACAAUAUCAAUUCACACAAUUUAACAUGAUUAUGAUUAUAAUGCAUACACAAUUUAUGUAGAAUCUAAAACUCGAAAAACAUAAAGUUGAGUCAUGCAUUAUGGUGAAUGUUCAUGCUAUCAGGGCUGCAACAAUAUCGAGAUAAAAAUCAUUGUUUUGAAAGAACUUGAUUGCGUGAUGAUAUUGAUGAACUGGUUUGAUGCAGAAAAUUGUUUCUUCAAUUUAAACUUUCCAUCUUCAAAAACUUGUAUCAUGUUCAAGAAAAAAAUAAAUUGAAUCAAUAAAAGUAUAUGAAUUCAAGAAAAUUAAAAUUUAAUCAAUUAAAAAUAAUUGAAACAUAAUACUCCCUUGAUUAAAGACGAAUAAAUUCUCUUUAAAUUAUUCUUAGCACAGCGUGAAUAGUGUGUUGAUAACGUGUUAUGGUCUAUAUUCUACAAAGGGGUGAGGCAAAGGGAAGAGAGAAAGAUGGAGAAUAGGCUUGAGGAAUUGUGUGUUAAUUCCCUAGUCCUUGUGCCGUUGUUUAUAGUAAUAAGGAGGAGAGAAACUUGCUCUCCAAGUAAUACAAAGUCUAUUAGGAAAGAUCUUCUAGAUCCCAAAUGAUUCAUAUUUUAUCUCUACUUAGGAUUUACACAAUCACAUAUUGAUAAGAAUAUAUGUCACAACAGAAGGAAGAAAAAAAAAGGCAAAAUUAAGUUUGUACAAAAUUAAAUUACUACCCAUUAUUUUACUUUGUGAUAUAAGACCAAAUUUUCUUUUCACCCUUUUCUAAUUGAUAAAGAGAAUUUUAUUAAUAGCUAGUUUAGAUUAUAAAAGAAUGGAAAUAACUUCCACACAAUCAUCUUCUCUCCAAUAUACAUCUUUGUUAGUGUGUUUUUUUUUUUUUUUUUUGAAUUAGGUAAAUCAAGAAAAUUAAACAAACAAAUGUGUGCAAAAAGAUAAAUUAAAAAAUGAGCAAAAAAAAAGUGUGUAAUAAAGCAACAAGUUGAACCUUGCUGUUGAUAAAAGAAAAUUGUAACAAUCAUCUCUCAAGUUUAACCCAAUUAGAAGAAUAGUCAUUCAACUAAAAAUUCAUGAUUAUCAAUUCCCUUAACUCAUCAAAACGUGCAGUAAACUUUACGUGAUGGAACCUUAAAUUUCGUCAUACAUAUUACACUCCAAAUUUUUUCUGGCGCGAAAAUUUUACUGACAAAUGUAUAUUUGUCCGCCGAACAUUGUUCAUUUGGGCACAAACCUUUGAAGAAACUAAAACAUUGAUCUUUUUUGCCCAUCGAACUUGUAAAUUCCAUUAGGUAAAGUUUAUUUACCAGAUAGAAUUUCGUCUGUUGGACAAACUUUCGUCAAAUAUAUAAUAAUUUAUGGUAGUAAGAGAGGUUUGGGGUGGAGAUUGAGCUAGAACAGUCAAAUCCAUCCCAAAUAAUAGCAUCUCAAUUAUAGCUCAAUAGACACAAUCCUUGGGUUCUAUAGGCCCGUGCCCUCUCCUCCCUCCUAAAGGAAAGGGAUCUUCUUAAGAAGGGUUGGAGCAGAAAAGUUGUUUCUAGGCUAAAAGCUAAAUUGUUCAGGCUAAAAAAUUUGGCUUUUAGCCCAACGGUUGGAGAUGGUCUUAAGAAGGUAAAAUUUUAUUUUCUUCUUUUCUUGAUGGAUAUGCUUUUGUUUGUAGGUUGAUCAUGUUGUUUCAUUUUGUGAAACAAUGUAGCCUUUGUCAAUCAAAUGUUUUGCUGAAACAUCCAAUAAGAAGAAUAAAAUAACUAUGGUAAGAAGCAACCUAAUUUCAAAAAUUUUAUGUGAUUUAGUUUUUAAAUUAUAAUCUUCUAAAAACCUUUUGUAGAUUGCAGAGCCAUUGGAGAGAGGACUUGCUGAGGACAUUGAGAAUGUAUAUAAGCUACAAUGUUCGUUUCUGCAAUGCAGGUUGAGUAUAAUUUCCUAGAUUUCAUUUAUGCCUUCCAUCGUGUUAAGUCGGUUAAAUGUACUAUUUGGUUUUUGGGGUUGAAUAGUGCGAUCUGAAUCUGGGGUUUAAAAUUUUUGUAGCCUUGAGUUGAACUUGAUCCAGAGCUAAUGCAAAUGGAUUUUUAUUAUUCCUAUAUAUAAAUGAUGGCUGUUGAAAUUUUUUUUCAUUUAUUGAUAUCAUAGUUUGCCAUCAUCUAUCCGAUUCAUUCAUGUAAAGUAUUACUGCUAAUUAAUUACAACUGUAUUUUUUUUUUCCAAAAUUAAUUACAAUUGUAUUAACAUUUUGUUUCAGUUGUAACCUUUUCUUUUUUUUUUCCUUGAUGAUCCAAAUUGUUUUAUUUGCAGUGACUGCUUCAAGAAAAAUGUGCUCUUAUGGGAUAUUCUAUGUUCAGGUAAUUAUACAAAUGAAGCAGUGGGAUGAUUGUCAAUGGGGAAUACUAGACUAGCCGUUUUUGUAUAUCAAUGACAAGGCAUUUGACAAUGUCUUUUUUGUAAGUUACAUAAACUUAGACAGCUUUGUAAAAAUAUUUGCUCCAUUUUCUACUUAAUGUUUAUCUUAGUCUUUGGUUAUUUAUAUUGUUAAAAAUAUAAUCUAUAGUUAUAUUUUCGCUCCCGCAACAACUGCGGGUAAAAUUUAUUAGUAUAUACUAAAGACCUCUAAUAAAAGUGAAAUUUAAAAGAAAUAAUUUCAACAUUCUUUUCUCUCUAUAUACACUCCUCUCUAUUUCGAGAGAUUUUUCAAUGUACUCGGAACACGAAAUGAAACAUCACAUAUCAUUAUAUAAUUGGAAGAAUAUUUAAAAAAAAAGUUUUACACCAAUUAUGUAAUAACAUGUGGUAUUCCGCUCUAUGUUACGGCACAAUGAAAAAUUCCUCCUCUAUUUGUUGCAUGAAUACUUACAACAGGCUUCGACUUAAAUUACGUACGUACUCAUUACAAUACACACACAGUACGUACUCGUUACAAUACACACACAUUGACACAUACAUACUUAAGCCCUCUCCAAAACGGUGACCGGAAGUCCGCCUUUCAUCUUCGCGGUGAGAUAGGACAACAGCUCCGGCUGUGCCCCGCCCUCCCUCUCCCGCGGUACCACCUUAAACCGCUUCAAAACCGCGCUCACCACCCUCUUCAUCUGCAAAAACGCCAUCUCCUUCCCCAAACAGAUCCUGGGCCCCGCUUGAAAAACCGGAUAGCUAUACGUGUCCCUCCCAACAAACUUAAACUUGUGGGCCCCCCUCUCCUCUCUCUCCAGCCACCUCUCCGGCCUGUACUCCGCCCAGUCCGCCCCCCAGAUCUCCUCCAUGCGCCCCAUCGCGUACACGUGGUACAUCACACUCAUCCCCUUCUUCACCUUCGUGCCGUCCGGCAAAACGUCGUCGUUUGCCGCUUGUUUGCUGUCGGUGGGAACCGGUGGGUACAGCCUCAUGCUCUCGCACAGCGCCGCGUGGGUGUACACCAUCUCCUUCACCUCGUCGUAACCUCCUCCCGCUGCCGACUCAGACGACGCCGCUUCGUUGAUCUCCCUCAAGAUCUCGUUUUCCACACGUGGGUUCUGCGAGAGAAGCCAGAAGAACCAGGUUAGAGCCGCCGACGUGGUGUCCCGGCCUGCGAGGGUGAAGCUGAUGACAAUGUCGGUGACGAACUUUUCGUCGGUGUGGCCAGAGCUCAAGAACCGGGAGAGCAGAUCUACAGAUUCCAACGCCUUCGCCUCGCUCAGAUCCCGCUUCUUUUCUUUGACAAUGGUUUUCGCGAACUCGCGGACUUCCGAUACGACGGCACGAAGGCGCUUUUCAGACCCGAUUCCGAGAGCCCUUUUGAGUUUCCAUACUGGGUGCGGCAAUGUGAACCUGUCGCUGCUGAUUUGCACGGCUUCGUCGAAAGCCACUGCGAAUUGGCUUCGGGCAGAGAGGGCAGGAGGUAAUCCGGGUCGUACCCGAAAGCAAUUCGACAGAUGUUGUCGAAACCGAAGCGCUGAAGAAUGUCUUGGAAGUCCAGGACUGAACUGCUGGCGGCGGAGGCGGAGAGAAUUGGAAUAAGGCGGUCGGAGAGCUCGGUGUCGACCACCUGUUCGACAAAUUUACGCAGAGACUUGGUGUUGAACUCGUGGCUGGAGACUUGGCGCUGGAACUUCCAGUUAUCUCCAUCGGCGUUGAAAAUGCCGUCGCCAAGGAGGUCGGCGAGGGUGGUGCGGAAGGUCUCGCCUUUUUGGUAGUUGGGGAAGUUGGUCUUCAGGAUGUGCUGGACAACGGAGGGAUUGGCGGUGACGACGAAGCGUCGGCCGAGAGAGUGGUGGAGAGUGAAGGUGUUUGAUGGGGAG